rnacentral:rRNA from 1 species
CCUACGGGGGGCUGCAGUGGGGAAUAUUGGACAAUGGGGGCAACCCUGAUCCAGCCAUGCCGCGUGUGUGAAGAAGGCCCUCGGGUUGUAAAGCACUUUCAGUGAGGAAGAACGCCUGGUGGUUAAUACCCAUCAGGAAAGACAUCACUCACAGAAGAAGCACCGGCUAACUCCGUGCCUGCAGCCGCGGUAAUACGGAGGGUGCGAGCGUUAAUCGGAAUUACUGGGCGUAAAGCGCGCGUAGGUGGCUUGAUAAGCCGGUUGUGAAAGCCCCGGGCUCAACCUGGGAACGGCAUCCGGAACUGUCAAGCUAGAGUGCAGGAGAGGAAGGUAGAAUUCCCGGUGUAGCGGUGAAAUGCGUAGAGAUCGGGAGGAAUACCAGUGGCGAAGGCGGCCUUCUGGACUGACACUGACACUGAGGUGCGAAAGCGUGGGUAGCAAACAGGAUUAGAUACCCUAGUAGUC